UACGUAGGUGGCAAGCGUUGUCCGGAUUUACUGGGCGUAAAGAGCGCGCAGGCGGUCGGAUCAGUCGAAUGUGAAAGCCCCCGGCUCAACUGGGGAGGGUCAUUCGAUACUGUCCGACUCGAAGGCAGGAGAGGGAAGCGGAAUUCCCGGUGUAGUGGUGAAAUGCGUAGAUAUCGGGAGGAACACCAGUGGCGAAGGCGCUUUCUGGCCUGUUCUUGACGCUGAGGCGCGAAAGCUAGGGGAGCGAACGGG
rnacentral:rRNA from 1 species